rnacentral:lncRNA from 1 species
UGACUCUGGAGUUGUAGUAUUGGGCCGUUUUCUGUUGGUAUCUUGCCAUACGGACCCGGGCGACCUCUCGUGUCUCUUCAACGAGAUCCAGAUUAUUCCUGAGUCGGAAAGAGUUGGAGUCGGGGUCGUAGUGCUCCACCCUUGAAGAAGGGAGGCCGAUUUCCAGCGGGAUGACAGCCUCUGUGCCAUACGCUAGGUUGAAGGGGGUCUCUCCUGUG